UGAGUAACACGUGAGUGACCUGCCUUUUAGACUGGAACAACUUACCGAAAGGUGAGCUAAUGCCGGAUGAGUUAUAUAAGUGCAUGUUUAUAUAGGAAAAGUUGGGAGACCUGACGCUGAAAGAUGGACUCGCGUCCCAUUAGCUAGUUGGUAGGGUAAUGGCCUACCAAGGCGACGAUGGGUAGCCGGCCUGAGAGGGUGGCCGGCCACACUGGGACUGAGACACGGCCCAGACUCCUACGGAAGGCAGCAG
rnacentral:rRNA from 1 species